rnacentral:rRNA from 1 species
AUACGUAGGGGGCAAGCGUUGUCCGGAAUUACUGGGCGUAAAGGGCGUGUAGGCGGCCAUGUAUGUCAGAUGUGAAAUGCCACGGCUUAACCGAGGCACUGCAUAUGAAACUGCAUGGCUUGAGUGCAGGAGAGGGAAGUGGAAUUCCUAGUGUAGCGGUGAAAUGCGUAGAUAUUAGGAGGAACACCAGUGGCGAAGGCGACUUCCUGGACUGUAACUGACGCUGAGGCGCGAAAGCGUGGGUAGCAAACAGGAUUAGAUACCCUGGUAGUCCACGCUGUAAACGAUGGGUACUAGGUGUGGGUAGUUCACUCUAUCCGUGCCGCAGCAAACGCAAUAAGUACCCCGCCUGGGGAGUACGGCCGCAAGGUUGAA